UGAGGAAUAUUGGUCAAUGGGCGGGAGCCUGAACCAGCCAAGCCGCGUGAGGGAAGAAGGCCCUAUGGGUCGUAAACCUCUUUUGUCAGGGAACAAAAGCGAGUAUGUAUACUAGUCUGAGUGUACCUGAAGAAAAAGCAUCGGCUAACUCCGCGCCAGCAGCCGCGGUAAUACGGAGGAUGCGAGCGUUAUCCGGAUUUAUUGGGUUUAAAGGGUGCGUAGGCGGCGAUGCAAGUCAGCGGUAAAAGCCCGGGGCUCAACCCCGGCGAGCGUUGAAACUGCAGUGCUAGAGAAGGCGAGAGGUACGCGGAAUGCGCAGUGUAGCGGUGAAAUGCUUAGAUAUUGCGCAGAACUCCGAUUGCGAAGGCAGCGUACUGGCGCCUGACUGACGCUGAGGCACGAAAGCGUGGGGAUCGAACAGGAUUAGAUACCC
rnacentral:rRNA from 1 species